ACUAGCGUCGACCGCAUAUUGAACCAUUUCCCCACGGAUCACUGAAGUUAAGCAAUGUUGCGCGUAGUUAUUACCUGGAUGGAUGACCAUCUGGGCAAUAGCGUUCUGCUGUGU
rfam:Asian citrus Psyllid, Diaphorina citri - Florida Strain, whole genome shotgun sequence.